rnacentral:rRNA from 1 species
GGGCAAUCUGCCCUUCACUCUGGGACAAGCCCUGGAAACGGGGUCUAAUACCGGAUAACACUCCUGCCUGCAUGGGCGGGGGUUAAAAGCUCCGGCGGUGAAGGAUGAGCCCGCGGCCUAUCAGCUUGUUGGUGGGGUAAUGGCCCACCAAGGCGACGACGGGUAGCCGGCCUGAGAGGGCGACCGGCCACACUGGGACUGAGACACGGCCCAGACUCCUACGGGAGGCAGCAGUGGGGAAUAUUGCACAAUGGGCGAAAGCCUGAUGCAGCGACGCCGCGUGAGGGAUGACGGCCUUCGGGUUGUAAACCUCUUUCAGCAGGGAAGAAGCGAAAGUGACGGUACCUGCAGAAGAAGCGCCGGCUAACUACGUGCCAGCAGCCGCGGUAAUACGUAGGGCGCAAGCGUUGUCCGGAAUUAUUGGGCGUAAAGAGCUCGUAGGCGGCUUGUCACGUCGGAUGUGAAAGCCCGAGGCUUAACCUCGGGUCUGCAUUCGAUACGGGCUAGCUAGAGUGUGGUAGGGGAGAUCGGAAUUCCUGGUGUAGCGGUGAUAUGCGCAGAUAUCAGGAGGAACACCGGUGGCGAAGGCGGAUCUCUGGGCCAUUACUGACGCUGAGGAGCGAAAGC